GACGAACGCUGGCGGCACGCUUAACACAUGCAAGUCGAACGAGAGAAGAGAAGCUUGCUUUUCUGAUCUAGUGGCGGACGGGUGAGUAACACGUGAGCAAUCUGCCUUUCAGAGGGGGAUACCGAUUGGAAACGAUCGUUAAUACCGCAUAACAUAAUUGAACCGCAUGAUUUGAUUAUCAAAGAUUUAUCGCUGAAAGAUGAGCUCGCGUCUGAUUAGCUAGUUGGUAAGGUAACGGCUUACCAAGGCGACGAUCAGUAGCCGGACUGAGAGGUUGAUCGGACAGAUUGGGACUGAGACACGGCCCAGACUCCUACGGGAGGCAGCAGUGGGGAAUAUUGCACAAUGGAGGAAACUCUGAUGCAGCGAUGCCGCGUGAGGGAAGAAGGUUUUAGGAUUGUAAACCUCUGUCUUCAGGGACGAAAAAAGACGGUACCUGAGGAGGAAGCUCCGGCUAACUACGUG
rnacentral:rRNA from 1 species